CUUUUCUUUCUUUUGUUAGGAUUAAUUUUAUUAAUUAUAUUUAUCAAUACACUUUAACCCACUUUCAUACAUGCAAAAUAUUCUAAGAACUUUCAACUAAAACCCCAUCAUGAAACAUCAGGAUGGAAAGAAAAUUAGGAAAAUACAGGGUUUUUUUGUUUUGUUUUUUUGUAAAAGUAUAGAUACAAAAGGUACAGUUUGCCUAAAACACAUAAAACAUUUUAUACAAUAUUUUAUUUAUUUAAAUGAUGUUAAAUUAAUUUUUUUGACUAUACUUAGUAUUUGUAACCUGUAAUACACCAAAUCCUGUCACAAAAAGUACAUUAUUACAAUAUUGGAUUUUGUCACGAUCUCGCUGGCAGAUGGCGCUGUGGCGGCGAUGUUCACGGAAAGCCGGAGGGCGCGUGCGUGUACGAACCAGAGCGAGCACAUGCUCGCGGGUUACAUAGGAACCAUGGAGACUUUGUUUACAAUGGCCAUGGGCGUUUGCUUCUGUUUUGUCUCCGCCUUGUUUAGUUAUUGGUGGAUAUUCGAGGGCGCGUCUCGGUUGUUACCAGCUGUCAGCGUUUAAGGUAAAUGACAUUAGUUAUUUAAACCCCUCACGUUACCUCGCACUUGGCGCAGUAUUGAAGGUUUAAAGGAGUUAAAUGUGUAAUGGUGCCACGCGGUAGUGUUUCCAUGCCCUGCUCUGGUUUCAUGCCUCGGUUCUAGGCAAGUGUGCCAUGUGAUAGUGUUUCCAGGUCCUGUUCUAGUUGAAUGUUUGGACCUCGUUUCCUGUUUCUUGUACAUUGACUUUAGUUUUAAAUAAAUACUUGCACCUGCACUUGCUUCCUGUUGGAGUCUGUACGUAACAGAUUUACAAUUAAAAAAGUACAUAAGUGAAAUUAUGAAGGUGAAAAACCCAUGAAUUAUUAUUAAAAUUUCAUUAAUUAUUAUGAUGAUUUAUCACAAUCAUAAUGUAAAAAAAUGGGUGAUUGGGGAGAGAAAGUGCAGGUAAUAUUUUAUUGUAAAUAAACAAUUUCCUUGUUUUACAAGAAAUAUACAAGAAAAUUAUUAUCAUUUUAACUUUUACAUUUAGUCAUUUGGCACUUAGCUGACAUUAAAUUAGAUCAAACAGUGUAUUGGUAUAUAGUAUAGAUGUUAUAUCAUUUGUUCUCUUUUAAUCACUUACAGGAAGAACAGUUUGUAAAUGUAUUCCUCUCUCGCUGUGAUGAUGCGGGUUUCAUGUGAUUCUCACCCAAGAACAGAUUUCUAAUAAUAUACAGAUGAUUAUUAGCAUGUCUGUUAAGCGCUAGAAAAAUCUAAAAGACUUUUAUAUAUUUAAUAGUUGUUGUUUUUUUAGCAGUAUAAUUUUUUGUUAAAAUCUACAAAAAUCCCAAUCUAAAAUGCAAAUCAGAGUUUAUACAUAACAUCACACACAUUAACUUUCGACUCAAUCUAAAGUCCAGGCUGUCUCCAGACUAUCAGCGUAAGCUGAGAGAAUCCCUCACUCACAGGGAGGUGUAGAUGUAGACGAAUAUGAUGACGAGGAGAUUCAGGACGGUGCAAGCGAUCCCAAGGAACGCCAGGAUGGACUCUUCUCGGCUCUCGCUCUUCUGUUUCGGUGGCUCAUCGUGACCCACGGCAUGAUUUAGCAUGUUCCUGUGACGAGGAGUGAACAAUCGCCUCCUAAAGCCUCUCUGCAGAAGAGUAACACUGAGUAUCAUAACUGUCGAAUUCGCGUUAAUGUGUGAUACUAAUAAUAACACCACAUACUCUACAUGCACACAUAUUAUAUCUACUAUACUACAGGUAGAGUACUGUAACGCUCUAUACAUUAUAUCUACUAUACUACAGGUAGAGUACUGUAACGCUCUAUACACACAUCUACUAUACUACAGGUAGAGUACUGUAACGCUCUAUACACACAUCAUCUAUACUACAGGUAGAGUACUGUAACACUCUAUACACACAUCUACUAUACUACAGGUAGAGUACUGUAACACUAUACACACAUCUACUAUACUACAGGUAGAGUACUAUAACACUCUAUACACACAUCUACUAUACUACAGGUAGAGUACUGUAACACUAUACACACAUCUACUAUACUACAGG
ensembl:lncRNA